GCUGUUAGUUUGUGGGGUGGUGC
rnacentral:miRNA from 1 species